rnacentral:rRNA from 1 species
GAUGAACGCUGGCGGCGUGCCUAACACAUGCAAGUCGAACGAACGGUCGAGAAGCAUGCUUCUCUGAUGUUAGCAGCCGACGGGUGAGUCACAUGUGGAUAACCUACCUAUAAGACUGUGAUACCUACGGGAAACGUGACCUAAUACCGGAUAAUUUAUUGCCUUUCAUGGGUCAAAAGUGUAAGACGCUCUUUCUGUCACUUAUAGAUUCAUCCGCGCUGCAUUAGCUAGUUGGUAAGGUAACGGCUUACCCAGGCAGCGAAGGAAAGCCGACCUGAAAGGGUGAACGACUACACGGGAUCUGAGGCACGGCCGACACUCCGGGGGUGGGCAACAGUAGGGAAUCUUCCGCGAGGGGCGAAUGCCGGACGGUGCAAAGCCGGGGGAGUGAUGAAGGUCUUCGGAUCGUAAAACGCUGUAAGUAGGGAGAUAGAAAUGUGUUAGUAACGGGGCAGAUCUUGACGGUACCUAAUGAGAAAGCCACGGCUAACUACGUG